rnacentral:rRNA from 1 species
AUGUUUGUCAAUUUUCAGAGGGAAAUAAGCAACAGAAUAGACAUAAAACAUGGCUGCUUUGGGAAAUUUUGGAUGUUACCCAUGCUCAUGCAUGAUGGUAGUUGUUGCGAAGAUCAUCUUAUCUAUCCAUCAAGAAUCAUCCCAGCACAACAAAUUGUCUAUUUAGUUCAUCACAAACACAGUAUCACGGGGAUAAUGGAGGUAAAUCAAAGCUCAAUGCUGAACCCUUGGUACCUCCUCCAUGUUAUGUUAGGACAAGAAAACAACCCAAGGGGCACCAAACCAUUUAUGCUCAGCUAG